AUACGAAAGGUGCAAGCGUUGUUCGGAUUUACUGGGCGUAAAGAGAGUGUAGGUUGUUUAUUAAGUCGGAUGAGAAAUCCCGGGGCUCAACCUCGGAACUGCAUUCGAUACUGGUAGACUAGAGUUCGGGAGGGGUAAGCGGAAUUCCGUGUGUAGCAGUGAAAUGCGUAGAUAUACGGAGGAACACCUGAGGCGAAGGCGGCUUACUGGACCGAUACUGACACUGAGACUCGAAAGCGUGGGUAGCAAACAGGAUUAGAAACCCGAGUAGUCC
rnacentral:rRNA from 1 species